rnacentral:rRNA from 1 species
CCUACGGGAGGCAGCAGUAGGGAAUAUUGCUCAAUGGGGGAAACCCUGAAGCAGCAACGCCGCGUGGAGGAUGAAGGUUUUCGGAUUGUAAACUCCUUUUGUUAGAGAAGAUAAUGACGGUAUCUAACGAAUAAGCACCGGCUAACUCCGUGCCAGCAGCCGCGGUAAUACGGAGGGUGCAAGCGUUACUCGGAAUCACUGGGCGUAAAGAGCGCGUAGGCGGGAUAGCAAGUCAGAUGUGAAAUCCUAUGGCUUAACCAUAGAACUGCAUUUGAAACUGUUAUUCUAGAGUAUGGGAGAGGUAGGUGGAAUUAUUGGGGGAGGGGGAAAAUCCGUAGAGAUCAAAAGGAAAACCGAUUGGGAAGGCGGCCUACUAGAACAUAACUGACGCUGAUGCGCGAAAGCGUGGGGAGCAAACAGGAUUAGAUACCCGAGUAGUC